UACGGGGGAGCAAGCGUUGUUCGGAAUUAUUGGGCGUAAAGCGCACGUAGGCGGCUUUGCAAGUCGGAUGUGAAAUCCCUCGGCUUAACCAAGGAAGUGCAUCCGAAACUGCAGAGCUUGAGUACUUAAGAGGAUCGCGGAAUUCCCGGUGUAGAGGUGAAAUUCGUAGAUAUCGUAAGGAAGACCAGUGGCGAAGGCGGGUCUCUGGACAGUUCCUGACGCUGAGGCA
rnacentral:rRNA from 1 species